rnacentral:rRNA from 1 species
UACGUAGGGCGCAAGCGUUGUCCGGAAUUAUUGGGCGUAAAGAGCUCGUAGGCGGCUUGUCGCGUCGGACGUGAAAGCUCAGGGCUUAACCCUGAGUCUGCGUUCGAUACGGGCAGGCUAGAGGCAGGUAGGGGAGAACGGAAUUCCCGGUGUAGGCGGUGAAAUGCGCAGAUAUCGGGAGGAACACCGGUGGCGAAGGCGGUUCUCUGGGACGGUAC